UCGCUGACUAAUUGUAGUAAUGAAUACCAUAAAGGUGUGGGGAGACACCUCCAUCAUUGAUGGUCUCUGUACAGGUGUGUCACCUACAUCACUGAUGGUCUCUGUACAGGUGUGUCACCUACAUCACUGAUGGUCUCUGUACAGGUGUCACCUACAUCACUGAUGAUCUCUGUACAGGUGUGGGGAGACACCUACAUCAUUGAUGGUGUCUGUACAGGUGGGUCACCUACAUCACUGAUGGUCUCUGUACAGGUGUGGGGAGACACCUACAUCACUGAUGAUCUCUGUACAGGUGUGGGGAGACACCUACAUCACUGAUGAUCUCUGUACAGGUGUGGGGAGACACCUACAUCAUUGAUGGUGUCUGUACAGGUGUGUCACCUACAUCAUUGAUGGUGUCUGUACAGGUGUGUCACCUACAUCACUGAUGGUCUCUGUACAGGUGUGUCACCUACAUCACUGAUGAUCUCUGUACAGGUGUGGGGAGACACCUACAUCAUUGAUGGUCUCUGUACAGGUGUGUCAC